GCUAGCUACAGGCUUAACACAUGCAAGUCGAGGGGCAUCAGGAAGAAAGCUUGCUUUCUUUGCUGGCGACCGGCGCACGGGUGAGUAACACGUAUCCAACCUGCCCUUUACUCGGGGAUAGCCUUUCGAAAGAAAGAUUAAUACCCGAUGGCAUAAUGAUUCCGCAUGGUUUCAUUAUUAAAGGAUUCCGGUAAAGGAUGGGGAUGCGUUCCAUUAGGUUGUUGGUGAGGUAACGGCUCACCAAGCCUUCGAUGGAUAGGGGUUCUGAGAGGAAGGUCCCCCACAUUGGAACUGAGACACGGUCCAAACUCCUACGGGAGGCAGCAGUGAGGAAUAUUGGUCAAUGGGCGCUAGCCUGAACCAGCCAAGUAGCGUGAAGGAUGAAGGCUCUAUGGGUCGUAAACUUCUUUUAUAUAAGAAUAAAGUGCAGUAUGUAUACUGUUUUGUAUGUAUUAUAUGAAUAAGGAUCGGCUAACUCCGUGCCAGCAGCCGCGGUAAUACGGAGGAUCCGAGCGUUAUCCGGAUUUAUUGGGUUUAAAGGGAGCGUAGGUGGACUGGUAAGUCAGUUGUGAAAGUUUGCGGCUCAACCGUAAAAUUGCAGUUGAUACUGUCAGUCUUGAGUACAGUAGAGGUGGGCGGAAUUCGUGGUGUAGCGGUGAAAUGCUUAGAUAUCACGAAGAACUCCGAUUGCGAAGGCAGCUCACUGGACUGCAACUGACACUGAUGCUCGAAAGUGUGGGUAUCAAACAGGGUUAGAUACCCUGGUAGUCCACACAGUAAACGAUGAAUACUCGCUGUUUGCGAUAUACAGUAAGCGGCCAAGCGAAAGCAUUAAGUAUUCCACCUGGGGAGUACGCCGGCAACGGUGAAACUCAAAGGAAUUGACGGGGGCCCGCACAAGCGGAGGAACAUGUGGUUUAAUUCGAUGAUACGCGAGGAACCUUACCCGGGCUUAAAUUGCAGUGGAAUGAUGUGGAAACAUGUCAGUGAGCAAUCACCGCUGUGAAGGUGCUGCAUGGUUGUCGUCAGCUCGUGCCGUGAGGUGUCGGCUUAAGUGCCAUAACGAGCGCAACCCUUAUCUUUAGUUACUAACAGGUUAUGCUGAGGACUCUAGAGAGACUGCCGUCGUAAGAUGUGAGGAAGGUGGGGAUGACGUCAAAUCAGCACGGCCCUUACGUCCGGGGCUACACACGUGUUACAAUGGGGGGUACAGAAGGCAGCUAGCGGGUGACCGUAUGCUAAUCCCAAAAGCCUCUCUCAGUUCGGAUCGAAGUCUGCAACCCGACUUCGUGAAGCUGGAUUCGCUAGUAAUCGCGCAUCAGCCACGGCGCGGUGAAUACGUUCCCGGGCCUUGUACACACCGCCCGUCAAGCCAUGGGAGCCGGGGGUAAAAGAAGUACGUAACCGCAAGGAUCGUCCUAGGGUAAAACC
rnacentral:rRNA from 1 species